GGUAAUCUGUAGCCUUAUCCAGACAGUAAUUGGUUUUCUUUAAAAACUCUUGUGAUAAAACCUGUUUAUACACGUGAUGCUGUAACUGUUUAUCAGAUAUAUCGUUGUAAUUCUUCUUUUAAACAAACUUACCACCAAUAAUAGACAACGUGUUUUAAUUAGUAAAUUUCCAGGACAACUGAAUCUUGCUACUAUAUAUCUAUAUUAUUCAAGGACCUUGUUAUAAACGCCUUACCACGAAUACUAUUGAUAUAUUAAAUUGUGUCACAGAACCGUCUUAUUAACCACAGGAGGAUGAAGAAGACCACUGAUAUUCUUUAUCCAAGUUUUUUAGUCUGCCUAAUAUUAGUAACACGUAUACAAGCAGAAUGUCCUGAAAAUUAUCACGAUGACGUAGAGAAUUGUAUGAUGGACGUCACAAUAACUCCACAGAUGGGCGGGGCUGUUACGUCAUUUACUGAUGUUGAUGAAUUAAAAAGAUUGUGUGUACAGGGAAUUUGGCAGAAGACAAUCGAGUGUUUGAGAAAUAUUUAUGAUCAAUGUAAAGAUAACCCAACAACCUUAAAUAAUAUGGAUAAAUUAUUUAGCAUUACCAGAUGGCAAGAAGGAGCCGAAUUACUGUGUAAAAAUGUCAACAAAAUUGUGUACCAAAAGAAAUGUUUGUCGGUAGCACGUGAUGAUGUAAUGGAAUGUACUUUACGAUACGCCAACACCUUUUCGUCUGGUAUACUAUCUCUGACACCAAACAGUCCAGUAAUAUAUAAACUAUUAGAGGCAUGUAGGUUCGCUGAAGGGUCACUAGGAUGUAUGUCUGAACCUCUAUCACGAUUCUGUCCACCUCACAUUAAACAUAUCUUAUUGUCCGCCAUGUCCCGAUUUUUACCGCCAAUUUGUGACCACGUGGAUAAGUAUGGACGCUUCAUUCAAGGUGAAUCACGAACGGAAGACGUUGACGUCACUGGCUGAGUCAUAUAUUGAUUGUCAUCAGAACAUUUGAAUGUUAAAAUCUGAUUACAGAUGCUUUGUGUAAGAUUUAGAUAAAGAGCUAAGAGUUCUGCCAUAAUAGUUUUUAAAAAAAAGAUAAAAAAUGUGAAAUAUGUCCAAGUUUGUGCAUCCUUCAGACUUUCAGAGGCCACAAUUUUUGUCCACCAGAAUGGGCGAUGUUUUCUUAAACUUAUUAGUAAAAUAGUGGCCGCUGGCCGUGUUAGAGGAGUGACCAUUGAUUGAAGAGAUGAAACAAUAGAAUUUUUACGGGUGGAAUUUAUCGUGACCGCUUACAAGGAGAUGUCGCUGAAUAGGAAUGGCUGCUCAUACAAAUUCUAAUAACAGGGUCAGGUGGAAUCCUAGGUUAUUCAUCCUCCUUGAUUUUGCUCAACCGAGUAUAAAACACAAAUUCAUGUUCUGCUAGAUUUGAUGCAGACCUGCCCGGGUAGGGGAGGUGAGGGGGGGGGGGCAAAGACCUCAUGAGGAGAAGAACCUAGGGCGGGCCUCUCUUCAUCUAAAUCGGGCAUUUGACAGGUAACAGAGCAUUUUUUUACACUUAUAUUUUCCAACAGUUAGAGCAUUAUCGUUUUUGACUUGGUUGACAUCUUUUGAGUCAUAAGUGUGAAGGGAGCCACGGUGGCUAGGUGGUUAAGACGCUGGCUCGCUAGCCUGGAGGUCGGGUGUUCGAUCCCUGCAUUGGCUGAGAAAGUUCAUCUGAUUUUCCAACGUGGUUUCCCCUUGUCAGUGGUGCAGAACGGAGAGCUGUCUAGUCCUUCGGAUGAGACGAAAAACCGAGGUCCCGUGUACACAUUGGUGUGCACGUAAAAGAUCCCCUGGCAGUUGGAAUUCGAUAUAAGAAUAGGCCGUAGCGCCGCUGCCCGGGCUAAAUUUCCCUCAUAGCACACUGUAUGGCGUAUACCUGUCUUCAUUAGCCUAGGAUAGGAGCAGAACAGUAGGACCUUAAAACCCCAUUUCAUUUCAUAAGUGUGAAAUCGUUGGACAUGAAAUAAUGUGUAAGAUUCCUCUCCGGGUAUCAAAUAGUCAAGGUGUGUGCUGCUCACCGGGUAUCAAAUAGUCAAGGUGGGCUCUGCUCCCCGGGUAUCAAAUAAUCGGGUUGUGCGUUGCCCCCCCUCGCGUCCUUUUCCUUCGGAUUUGCCACUAGGGCUAUGUAAUGAAUACAGGUACAGUAGAAUACUUUAUAUACUAUGCAUUAAGGACCCCACUCUUUGUCACGUACAAGCCGUGAGUUGAAACCACACCAUUUGACUCAAUAACAGACAUUCUGAUCCAACACGCACGUGUUAACCAUUCACCCCCACCCUUCCCAUAUUUAACGGGUUAAUAUUUACCUGAUAUAGUAAUGAAUAUUUUAUUAAUUUGCUGUAGUAAAUAUUAACAAUCUAAGAAUAUACCACGUAUUUAUCUAGAUAUACAACAUGUAUACCUAGUGUAGGGACAAUAUCAGACAUAUAACCAGUCAUUGUUUUUCAAGGCGAGCGAUCGUUCUCAUGCGACUGCCACUCACCUGAAUGGCGGCAGAGGGGAGCUUUUUCUCCCUAUCACUCUCCUUUACAAAAUCAUGGGGAGUUUAUUACCAUUUAUGAAUGCAGGAAUGACCCCUUAACAUGCAGUUAUUGAUCUUCAGAACCAUUUCCCAUACACACAACUAAUCACUCUCCUUAAUAUCAGAUCAUUCUCCUUAAUUUCUAAAUCACUCUUAUCAAAACUGGGAGAGCUUUUUUAGGGGAGGGAUUUUUUCAAUUUGUUGAUUAAGGGGAGUUUUUUCAGCUCUCGUCAACAACGACUGUAUAAUUUAUUGCCUCAAAACAUCAUUUACAAAUUGACCUACAAAUCAGAUGACCUAUAUUUAUUUUAAUUUUGUUUAUAAACAGUAUUUAAUUUUAUUGAAAUUGGAAUUAAUUUUAAUGUUCUACUUUUUUGCAUCCAUUUUGGUUAAAGAAAAAGACAGCAAUCGAAUUCCAAAUGUUGAGGAUUGUUUUACGUACUUGCCAAUGUGUACAGGGGACGUCUCUGUAUUUUGUAACAUCUCAACGACUUGAUACUAUUCAGGGCUUACAUCCGACUUGACACAGAGAAACCACGCCAAAAAAUCAUAAGUGAACCCAAGACAUCUUGGGCAACCUUCGGCAGUAGACUAUGGUCGCAACUAGUCUGGUCAGCCCAGUCAUCUUUAAACUAUCCCAACCAUGCUCUAUAGCAUGAAACGGCUGGUCACGACCACAGGUUGAACUAAAUGUCGUUUGACUAUACUACAAAAAUCUGUGCAAACCGAAGGCCGCCCUUGCUGGCAUGACAGUGUCUUACUUACUGAGCCACAGUGGCUCCAAAAUAAAUAUCUGAUUUAUAAUUUAGAGAACAGAGAGAGAGAGAGAAAUGGGUUUAACGUUCACUCGACGCAAACUAGGUCAUUUCGGGACUAACACAUGGUUCAAUUUUAAUUCAAUAAUUCGCUUGCGCGUAGGGGUCUUUUGCAGUGGGAGGAAACUGGAGGACCCGGAGAAAACCCACGAGUUUGGACAGCCGACCCUACUCCUUAUCACAUACAACCAGGGAAUCAAAACCAUACCACUUGACUCAAUGACAGACCGUAUGAUACAACGCACACAAAUGUGCUAACCAUUCAGCCAUCAAACCCCCCCAGAGAAUGGGGAAACAAAAAGCAAUCUGUAUUAUUUUAUUUACGUGACGUGAUGAAGAUGUGACUAACACAUCAUACAAUAUAAUGACUAUAACAAGAUGUUUGACUGCUAAAUAAUAAACAAUAAAUAUAAGAUUCUCGUUUUUAUUUCUUUUUCUUGUUUUUUUGACUAGAUGCUCCGUCACCUUCACCUGAUGCAUGUUGUACUUUCUGCCAUUUUAACGGUUUUCGUCUGUACAUUGGCCAUGGUGGUAGAGUUAAC